CUCAGUUCAGAUUGCAGGCUGCAACCCGCCUGCAUGAAGUCGGAAUUGCUAGUAAAUCGCGGAUCAGCAUGCCGCGGUGAAUACGUUCCCGGGCCUUGUACACACCGCCCGUCACACCAUGGGAGCCGGUAAUACCCGAAGUCAGUAGUCCAACCUCGUGAGGACGCUGCCGAAGGUAGGAUUGGCGACUGGGGUGAAGUCGUAACAAGGUAUC
rnacentral:rRNA from 1 species